UACGUAGGGUGCGAGCGUUACUCGGAAUUACUGGGCGUAAAGCGUGCGCAGGCGGUUUUGUAAGCCAGAUGUGAAAUCCCCGGGCUCAACCUGGGAAUGGCAUUUGGGACUGCAAGGCUGGAGUUUGGCAGAGGAGACUGGAAUUCCUGGUGUAGCAGUGAAAUGCGUAGAUAUCAGGAGGAACACCGAUGGCGAAGGCAGGUCUCUGGGCUGAAACUGACGCUCAAGCACGAAAGCGUGGGGAGCAAACAGG
rnacentral:rRNA from 1 species